rnacentral:rRNA from 1 species
UGCGUAGGUGGGUUGGUAAGUCAGUGGUGAAAUCCCCGAGCUUAACUUGGGAACUGCCAUUGAUACUAUCAGUCUUGAAUACCGUGGAGGUUAGCGGAAUAUGUCAUGUAGCGGUGAAAUGCUUAGAUAUGACAUAGAACACCAAUUGCGAAGGCAGCUGGCUACACGAAUAUUGACACUGAGGCACGAAAGCGGUGGGGAUACAAACA